CAUGAUGUUCAAUCCGCUUGAGUUCUUUAGCUACCUGAAUCAUCUUCGGUCUGUCUUCUACCCUCUCCUCGCAGCAUCUCAGUGCAAGUAAAACGCAUGCUUCCACCUGCAAUCUUUGAGCACUUGUCAU
rnacentral:sRNA from 1 species